GAUGAACGCUGGCGGCGUGCCUAAUACAUGCAAGUCGAGCGAACGGACGAGAAGCUUGCUUCUCUGAUGUUAGCGGCGGACGGGUGAGUAACACGUGGAUAACCUACCUAUAAGACUGGGAUAACUUCGGGAAACCGGAGCUAAUACCGGAUGAUAUUUUGAACCGCAUGGUUCAAAAGUGUAAGACGGUCUUGCUGUCACUUAUAGAUGGAUCCGCGCUGCAUUAGCUAGUUGGUAAGGUAACGGCUUACCAAGGCAACGAUGCAUAGCCGACCUGAGAGGGUGAUCGGCCACACUGGAACUGAGACACGGUCCAGACUCCUACGGGAGGCAGCAGUAGGGAAUCUUCCGCAAUGGGCGAAAGCCUGACGGAGCAACGCCGCGUGAGUGAUGAAGGUCUUCGGAUCGUAAAACUCUGUUAUUAGGGAAGAACAGAUGUGUAAGUAACUGUGCACAUCUUGACGGUACCUAAUCAGAAAGCCACGGCUAACUACGUG
rnacentral:rRNA from 1 species